ensembl:lncRNA
UCUUCAUGUCAUCCAAUAGGAGUCCAUAAGGUCUUUAUGUCAUCCAAUUAGAAGUUAUAUGAUCUUCAUGUCAUCCAAUAGGAAUCUAUAUGAUCUUCAUGUCAUCCAAUAGGAAUCUAUAUGAUAUUUAUGUCAUCCAAUAGGAAUCUAUAUGAUAUUUAUGUCAUCCAAUAGGAAUCUAUAUGAUAUUUAUGUUAUCCAAUAGAAGUGAAUAUCCUCUUUAUGUAAUUAUCACAACCACAAAAGAAAGGUACUAUUUUACACCACUUCGAUGAAAUCAUAAACAUGAGCAACAUAAGCUUUUUUUUUUUAUUACCAAGAGAACAAGAAAGGGUGACUUUCUACACAAAUAAAUCCAAAGGGAUUUAAAUCCAAAGGGAUGUGAAGAUUUGUGUUAGUUGUGACCUAAUGGACUGUUUUACUGUUUUACUGUAAAUGUGUAUUGAUCUUUAACACUUUUUAAAUAACAUUUAAGAAUUAGUCUUUAUAAAUGAAUAUACAUGUUUAUAAAUUAUUAUAAAUGUUGUACAUUUUUUUAAUGGAAAGCUGGUAAUAUUUACACAUUCUUAUAAAUGUUUACAAAAAUAAUUGUAAAUCGUUUAUAAAUCGUUAAAAGGUUUAUUCACGAUAGUUAUUUUAAAGUGCUACCAUUGACACCUCUAUGUACAUAAUGAGAUGCGAACACCUGCAGUGCUUCUGUCCAAAAACAGCAUUUAUCAACGGGAUUCCAGAAAUCCCAGUGGUAAGAUUUCCACAAUCAGGAGGGAAUAAACCUGGGUAAAGCAACUGUUAAAACCUAACAAAUUAGCCUGUUAAAACCUAACAAAUUAGCCGCUAUGCCAAGAGAUCCGAACAGCUUGACGAGGUUGCUAGGUGUUGUGGUUUCAAUAGCUGUAUAGGUUUAGGAAUAAAGGAGUAACAAUGUACUGUACAGUUCUGCCAUUGUAGAGGUCCUUAGGCACAGAUCUAGGAUCAGAAUACAGUAAAUUACUGUACAGUUCUGCCAUUGUAGAGGUCCUUAGGCACAGAUCUAGGAUCAGAAUACAGUAAAUGUACUGUACAGUUCUGCCAUUGUAGAGGUCCUUAGGCACAGAUCUAGGAUCAGAAUACAGUAAAUGUACUGUACAGUUCUGCCAUUGUAGAGGUCCUUAGGCACAGAUCUAGGAUCAGAAUACAGUAAAUUACUGUACAGUUCUGCCAUUGUAGAGGUCCUUAGGCACAGAUCUAGGAUCAGAAUACAGUAAAUUACUGUACAGUUCUGCCAUUGUAGAGGUCCUUAGGCACAGAUCUAGGAUCAGAAUACAGUAAAUGUACUGUACAGUUCUGCCAUUGUAGAGGUCCUUAGGCACAGAUCUAGGAUCAGAAUACAGUAAAUUACUGUACAGUUCUGCCAUUGUAGAGGUCCUUAGGCACAGAUCUAGGAUCAGAAUACAGUAAAUUACUGUACAGUUCUGCCAUUGUAGAGGUCCUUAGGCACAGAUCUAGGACCAGAACACAGUAAAUGUACUGUACAGUUCAGUAGAGGUUGUCCUUAGGCACAGAUCUAGGAUCAGCUUACCCAUCCCAAAACCUAACUUAAAGGGCUAUCCAGGAUUGGUACAUCCAGUUUUUUUUACUUUUAAAUGAUUGAUUUAUUGCUCUUGGUUCUUGUAGAAUAUAACUUAAAACUGCCUUGUGACCAGGUCAACAGUCGUUCCCCAUCAGUACCCCAACUAUAAGCUUGUUUUCACUCCAUUGUUUGUCCACGAUGUAAAGGUUUAAAACAUGGUUAAAAGUAUCCUGUUGAUCUCAUGGAUGGUCAGUCCUUGCAUCCAGAGAUCCAUCUGUGAUGUUGAGAGUGGUUCAAUCUAUCCAGGCCCAUCCCUCAGCUGUUAACCACAACAAGUGAUGGGAUGACCUGUUAGUUGCUUUUUAAAUCCCAGACUGCCCCUUUAAGGUUCCACCUAGAACUUGGUCUCAGAGUAACCAUGGAGAUUCAGUAGAGUCUUAAAACAAUCUAAAAAACGUCUACAUUCAAUGUUGUAUGUUUUAUAUUCUAUUCUGUUGCACUUUUACUUCGACAAGUUGUGUAUUUUAUACUUUUAAAGAACGUACCAUUUUCAUGUCCUUUAUCAACACUGUUCUGAAUGUAAGCACUUAGUGUUGUACUUGACUGUGUACUCUGUAGUGUGUGUGUGUGUGUGUGUGUGUGUGUGUGUGUAUGUGAGAGAGAGUGGGUAUGUUUCGGUAGCUUUAGCCACAAUAAAACGUUGCUACAAAUAAC